rnacentral:lncRNA from 1 species
UUGGUCAAAGGGAAUUGUCUUUUAUUCAAUAUAAUACUGAGGUUUCUAGGAAAGAGCUAGCUAUAAAUAUCAUGAUGGAAGAUCACUCCGUCAAUCGAUUUCCACCACUGGCUCCUCCAGUCACCACUGUUGAUGGUUAAGACGAAAUAGAUUCGUCGUUCUCGAGUGCAGAGACCGAGACCAUCCGUCCUCGAUGAGUGGCAAAACUUGGAAGAGAUGGAUCUGAGGAAGAACGAAAGAGAUGACGGCACCGCGCCGCUUUCCAAAAAAUAAAAAAUAAAAAAUAAAUCAAUAUGUGAAAUACCUAAACUACCAUUUAUAGCUACCCCU